GAGAUCGGGGUAACGACCUGGAAACAGAUGCUAAUACCGGAUAACAACAGAUGAUGCCUAUCAACUGUUUAAAAGAUGGUUCUGCUAUCACUCUUGGAUGGACCUGCGGUGCAUUAGCUAGUUGGUAGGGUAACGGCCUACCAAGGCGAUGAUGCAUAGCCGAGUUGAGAGACUGAUCGGCCACAUUGGGACUGAGACACGGCCCAAACUCCUACGGGAGGCAGCAGUC
rnacentral:rRNA from 1 species